rnacentral:lncRNA from 1 species
GGGAACCGGGUGAAACGAAGUGAAACCAGCGCUGUGGCAUUUCAUUUCAUCCCUGAUCCCGUGCGGGCGGGAUCCGCGCCGUCCUCGUCGUCUUCGCGCGCGCAAGCUGAAUCUCCCGCUCCCCGUCCCUUCCAUGCCACCGUAUCCAGCCCCGUUGCCGCCCAGAGAGUACUCCAUUCUCGCGCGUGAAGAAUACGGCGCCGCCGGUCGAAGGGGCCCGCCGUCGGCCGCUCCCCGUCGUUGCGACCCGCCGCCGGCCGAAGGGGACCCGCCACCGUCGUUGCGACCCGCCGUCGGCCGCUCCCCGUCGUUGCGACCCCAUCCUUGCGGCCGUCCGCCAUGGAUCCGCCGGGAAACCUCAGCGGCCUGGGAUCCUCACCGCCCGGGGAUCCUCAGAGGCCUCGCGGUGGAGGGAAGGCGCCGCCGGUAGGGGACGGUCCUCGGCGACCCGCGCCUCGCAGUGGAGGGAAGGCGCCGCCGCCCGCCAUAUUUGGAAUAAGUUUGGUGGUCAUGCACGUAGAACUGGAGUUUGAGAUAUAAUACAUGUAAUUGUUUUAUAUUUUUGUAUCAUUUAUUUAUAUAUAUGGAUGGUAUGUCUGAAUGCCCAUUAUCAAUUACUUUGGUUUCUGCAGGGUGCCAUUGUGGAAGUGAUCUCUGGUUUCUGCAGGGUGCGGAGCAAGGUUAGUGCUGGGAACCUGAUCACUGUCAAUGAACCUGAUAGCACUAUGGUUGGUUUCUGAAGGGUGCUCGAUCAUGUCAAUGAACAAACUAUUUUUUUGUCUGUACAGGAUGAAGCAACGAUGUCCAUCCAAUGUGUUCUAGUUUAUGGGUUCAACUGAAGGCUAUCGGCUGCACUACUAUCGUUGCUUUUUUUUUAUUUCGA